UGGGGAAUAUUGCACAAUGGGCGCAAGCCUGAUGCAGCAACGCCGCGUGCGGGAUGACGGCCUUCGGGUUGUAAACCGCUUUUAGUAAGGAAGAAGGGGAGCUUGCUCCUUGACGGUACUUGCAGAAAAAGGACCGGCUAACUACGUGCCAGCAGCCGCGGUAAUACGUAGGGUCCGAGCGUUGUCCGGAAUUAUUGGGCGUAAAGAGCUCGUAGGCGGUUUGUCGCGUCUGCUGUGAAAUCCCGAGGCUCAACCUCGGGCCUGCAGUGGGUACGGGCAGACUUGAGUGGUGUAGGGGAGACUGGAAUUCCUGGUGUAGCGGUGGAAUGCGCAGAUAUCAGGAGGAACACCGAUGGCGAAGGCAGGUCUCUGGGCACUUACUGACGCUGAGGAGCGAAAGCGUGGGGAGCGAACAGGAUUAGAUACCCUGGUAGUCCACGCCGUAAACGUUGGGCGCUAGAUGUGGGGACCUUUCCACGGUUUCCGUGUCGUAGCUAACGCAUUAAGCGCCCCGCCUGGGGAGUACGGCCGCAAGGCUAA
rnacentral:rRNA from 1 species